CGAUGUAGACCAGGCCUGUUUUGGGCAAACCAAGCAUCAUCCAGGACAACCUACGAGCAUCAGAUACGGAUGUUUCAACUUUGAGUUAUGCCGCGAUGUGAUGAAAACGGCAUUUGACGAUUUAACCCGAUGCCUUGCACAAAAUGCCAAUUGUGAUACUGAUCAUUCGGGAGUCUGUAACGUUUGCUGUAGAGGUGCAAGCUGUAACUAUGGUGAUUGUCAUGAGAUAAGACAGCGACUGUUUGACGAGUACAAUCGUGGUGUGUUUAGUUUGGACACCCUGGAGUCCACGUCAGAUGUAGCAGGGUAAUACAUGCGGAGCGGACUUUUAGACAGUGAGGUCGCCGUUCAGACU